rnacentral:rRNA from 1 species
UGGGGAAUAUUGGACAAUGGGCGAAAGCCUGAUCCAGCCAUGCCGCGUGUGUGAAGAAGGUCUUCGGAUUGUAAAGCACUUUAAGUUGGGAGGAAGGGCAGUAAGCGAAUACCUUGCUGUUUUGACGUUACCGACAGAAUAAGCACCGGCUAACUCUGUGCCAGCAGCCGCGGUAAUACAGAGGGUGCAAGCGUUAAUCGGAAUUACUGGGCGUAAAGCGCGCGUAGGUGGUUCGUUAAGUUGAAUGUGAAAGCCCCGGGCUCAACCUGGGAACUGCAUCCAAAACUGGCGAGCUAGGGUAGGGCAGAGGGUGGUGGAAUUUCCUGUGUAGCGGUGAAAUGCGUAGAUAUAGGAAGGAACACCAGUGGCGAAGGCGACCACCUGGGCUCAUACUGACACUGAGGUGCGAAAGCGUGGGGAGCAAACAGG